AUCCUUGUUACAAAACAGUCCUCUUCUUCGAAAAGUAGCUUGCAUACAUUCUUCGCAAAUUAAUAUUCCACAUCAUUACAUGAAAGGGAUCCAAAAAAUAAAGAAAAAGCAAACACUAAAGAAUAAAAACACACACUCUUAAGGCUACCAUACUGCACACCCACAAAAUUCAGCAAAAACACAUGCCACAUCAGAAAACCCAACACGAACCCAACUCUCAACAAAAAAAUUAUAGUAGAAAAACCCAAGGCCAAAUGUCAUAAGACCUUUCCCCUCCAAACAAAAAUCUUACAAACACACCCUAAAAAUUCCUCCAAAACCCAAACCAUGCAGGCUGCAGCACAUUCAUCCUUUAUCAACUUCCACCACCAUCCUUAGAUUAAAAUUCCAUUGAUGUAAUGAUUCACACAUUCACACAUAACUAUCUAUAUGAUACUACCUCUGUUUUUUUAGAGUUGUGCACAAAUAUUAAGGAAAUGAUUAUAAAUCAUUAAAUAUACUAUCAAUUGUCUAUAUUACGGGAAAAAAGUGUUAUUUAUAGGGUAAAAAAUAGUGAGAAAACUAAAGUUAUAUUUAUUACUUGGGGUAAUAUUGGAAACUAAACAAUUAAUGCUUACUUAAAAUUCUCAAACGACUUAUAUUUAGGAACAAAAACAUUUCUCUAAAACAACUUAUAUUAAGACGGAGGAGUAGUACAUUGGUUUAUGACUAAAUUUAAUUAAAUAUCAACAAAAAAAUUCCCAUAUUAAACUCUCAAUGUGUGCAGAGUGGGGGUGUGAGUGCGUUUGAGUAGGUAGGGGAAGAAAAUAGCGAAGAGAGGAGUACUUACAAUGCUGCAGAUAUGAAAGAACGCAUUCACGUAAUGAGAGAGUAAGAGGGCAGCCAUGUUAGGAGAUACUCAAUAAUAUUGUGGCAUAUCACUAAACACUUUAUGUGCACCAUGCCAAGAUAAAUCUAAAUUAGUGAAAAAAAUGUGUGAAACCAGGAGAACUAAAGCAGCAGCAGCAUACAGUGAAAAAAGUUACAAAUCUGCCAAAUAGCGUAUUAUUACUAUAUAAAUUCUAUGGUUAUAUACCUUGGCAAAUUAUGUGUAUAUAAUAAAACUAAAAAACCAUAGCUAAUGAAUAUUAGACCAUUUUCAUAAAGAAAACUCAAUCUAAAAGGGGAUGUGAAUUAACAAAAUCAAGAAAACUCGUCGUACAUCCAGAUCAAUCUUAGUCGCAGGACGAUUUCUUGGGUUUCUCCAUUCUCAACAAAUCCCAGAUCGAUCUUAGGUGCGGAUUAAUUUCUUGACUCUGUUCAUUACAAAGCCCCUAACAACGAUCUUUCAUUUUGGGUUGGAAUGAUAGAACGUCGCAAAAAAAGAAGACAGAAGAGUGUACUAAAACUGAUUUUGAGAGGCUGUGAAAAAUGGAAGGUCAAAAGUUGAGACUUGGGCUACCCAGAUUAAUCCCACCCGAACGAAACCGAAGGACGAAACCGCAUGGACGAAUUUAUGUUGCGGUUUUAUAUCCUUUAGUAGACUUUGUCUAGUAGACUUUGUCUAAUA
rnacentral:lncRNA from 1 species